rnacentral:rRNA from 1 species
UUAGUGGCGGACGGGUGAGUAACGCGUGGACAACCUGCCGUAUACAGGGGGAUAACACUUAGAAAUAGGUGCUAAUACCGCAUAAGCGCACGGUUCCGCAUGGAACAGUGUGAAAAACUCCGGUGGUAUACGAUGGAUCCGCGUCUGAUUAGCCAGUUGGCGGGGUAACGGCCCACCAAAGCGACGAUCAGUAGCCGGCCUGAGAGGGUGAACGGCCACAUUGGGACUGAGACACGGCCCAAGCUCCUACGGGAGGCAGCAG